CCCUAUGUACAGGUUUUAUGGUGUUUUGGGAAGUUACAGGGUCAAAUAUAGUAUGUUACUUUUUUCACAUUGAAAUUCGCCAGAUUGGUUAAGUUGCCUUUUAGAUUGUAUGGUAGCCCAGGUAUGAUAAUUACCCACAUGAUGGCAUACCAUUUGCAAUAGUAGACAACCCAAUGUAUUGCAAAUGGGGUAUGUCCAGUCUUUU